GGGAAUAUAGCCAGGUCAGUUAUCAAGGUCAGAUUAUGGGAACAAUCCUUCCCUUUAAACUUAAGAAUGGUGACUUCCUGGCUUAAUUAUUUGCUGUGUCGAUAGUCCACACUUCUACUGACUUGGCUUUUAGCUCAUAGAGAAGAUGAAGCCCAAGUAUGAUUGAUAACCCCCUACUUGGAGGCAAGUUUUCCAAAGAACAGCUCAACACAUGUUGGUACUCUGCAUCAUUCUGAAGAUAAAACCAUCUCCCCAUGGAAGUGUGUUGUGCACAGAAGGACAACAUUUCAGUGGAAGCAAUACCUCGGAAAACAAUGUGCCAAAUGCUUGUGUGGUAGCAUUCAGACAAGGAGAUGUAUUUGCAAUGUGUGAUACUGUAGUCACCACUGCUCUUGUAUGUCCUCUCUCAAGAUGUUUGUGCCUGCAUUGUUGAUCAGAUGUCAUCAAAGAUUAUCCCUUUAAUUUUUAACAUUGUCAAAGUUAAUAUAUGCCCUUUGCUUUUCAAUAUCAUCAGUGUUAAUGCAAACCUUUUAAUUUUUAACAUUUUAAAGUUAAUAUAAACUCCAUUAAUGCUUCUCAGCUGAUUAAACACAGGAAUGAUCACUAUGAACUAGUCAUAUUAGUAGUUUUUCCAGUAGGUAGUAAAUUCUUUUUUUGGUAAUAACAUUGUCAACAGUUAUAAUGAUAUAUAUCCUUAUUUACAAUAUUAUUUUGUAUGCAAAUUACUAUCUUUCUCAAUACCUCAUUGGAGGCUCUCCUCACAGCUCACCACCCCAGGCUUCUUUCCUGUCACCUCUCCUCCAUGUCACCUCUUCCUCUUCCUCCUUUCCACCUCUCCCUCCCCCUGGAGCUUAUUGUCUACACGUGCAUCAACUCCUGCCUUCAUCCUUCUAAGUUUUGUUAACACCUGAUAGUAUAUGUAGUAAACUUUACUGUGUUGGUUUCCUAGGGCUGCCAUAGCAGAGGAUAGCAAAUUGAGUGGCUUAAACAGCCUAAGUUUAUUAUGUCAAAGUUCUGAAAGCUAGAAAUGUGAAAUCAAGUUGUUGGCAGGGUUGUGUCUUCUGAGAGCUGUGAGGGAAGGAUCUGUUCUAGGCCUUUCUCCUUGACUUGUAAAUGGCUGUGUUCUUCCUCUGUCUCUUAACAUUGUCUUCCCUUUAUGCAUGUCUAUGUGUCCAAAUUACCCCCUCUAUAAGAAUACCGAUCAUGUUGAAUUUGGAUCCAACCUAACAAUCUCAUUUUAAUCUGAUUAUCUUUAUAAAGAUCCUAUCUCCAAAUAAGGUGACAUCCUGAGGUACUAGAUGUUAGGACUCUAACAUAUCUGUUUUUGGACACAACUCAACCCAUAGCACUAAGGUUUAAAGAUAACACACAAGGGGAUCCCUGGGUGGCUCAGCGGUUUAGCACCUGCCUUCGACCCAGGGCAUGAUCCUGGAGACCCAGGAUCGAGUCCUGUGUCAGGCUCCCUGCAUGGAGCCUGCUUCUCCCUCUGCCUGUGUCUCUCCUCUCUCUCCCUCUUUCUGUGUAUCUCAUGAAUAAAUGAAUAAAAUCUUAAAAAAAAUAAAGAUAA
rnacentral:lncRNA from 1 species